GACGAACGCUGGCGGCGUGCUUAACACAUGCCAGUCGAACGGAAAGGCCCUGCUUUUGUGGGGUGCUCGAGUGGCGAACGGGUGAGUAACACGUGAGUAACCUGCCCUUGACUUUGGGAUAACUUCAGGAAACUGGGGCUAAUACCGGAUAGGAGCUCCUGCUGCAUGGUGGGGGUUGGAAAGUUUCGGCGGUUGGGGAUGGACUCGCGGCUUAUCAGCUUGUUGGUGGGGUAGUGGCUUACCAAGGCUUUGACGGGUAGCCGGCCUGAGAGGGUGACCGGCCACAUUGGGACUGAGAUACGGCCCAGACUCCUACGGGAGGAAGCAGUGGGGAAUAUUGCACAAUGGGCGGAAGCCUGAUGCAGCAACGCCGCGUGCGGGAUGACGGCCUUCGGGUUGUAAACCGCUUUCGCCUGUGACGAAGCGUGAGUGACGGUAAUGGGUAAGAAGCACCGGCUAACUACGUG
rnacentral:rRNA from 1 species